GAUGAACGCUGGCGGCGUGCCUAAUACAUGCGAGUCGAGCGAACAGACGAGGAGCUUGCUCCUCUGACGUUAGCGGCGGACGGGUGAGUAACACGUGGAUAACCUACCUAUAAGACUGGGAUAACUUCGGGAAACCGGAGCUAAUACCGGAUAAUAUAUUGAACCGCAUGGUUCAAUAGUGAAAGACGGUUUUGCUGUCACUUAUAGAUGGAUCCGCGCCGCAUUAGCUAGUUGGUAAGGUAACGGCUUACCAAGGCAACGAUGCGUAGCCGACCUGAGAGGGUGAUCGGCCACACUGGAACUGAGACACGGUCCAGACUCCUACGGGAGGCAGCAGUAGGGAAUCUUCCGCAAUGGGCGAAAGCCUGACGGAGCAACGCCGCGUGAGUGAUGAAGGUCUUCGGAUCGUAAAACUCUGUUAUUAGGGAAGAACAAAUGUGUAAGUAACUAUGCGCGUCUUGACGGUACCUAAUCAGAAAGCCACGGCUAACUACGUG
rnacentral:rRNA from 1 species